rnacentral:siRNA from 1 species
GACCUGUCACUCGACCACACCC